rnacentral:rRNA from 1 species
UAGGCGUAAACGAUACUCGCUAGGUGUCGGCCACGGUGCGACCGUUGUCGGUGCCGUAGGGAAGCCGUGAAGCGAGCCACCUGGGAAGUACGGCCGCAAGGCUGAAACUUAAAGGAAUUGGCGGGGGAGCACCACAACAGGUGGAGCCUGCGGUUUAAUUGGACUCAACGCCGGAAAUCUCACCGGAUAAGACAGCGGAAUGAUUGCCGGGCUGAAGACUCUGCAUGACUAGCUGAGAGGUGGUGCAUGGCGUCAGUGACU